rnacentral:rRNA from 1 species
GACGAACGCUGGCGGCGUGCUUAACACAUGCAAGUCGAACGGAAAGGCCCUGCUUGCAGGGUACUCGAGUGGCGAACGGGUGAGUAACACGUGGGUGAUCUGCCCUGCACUUCGGGAUAAGCCUGGGAAACGGGGUCUAAUACCGGAUAGGAGCCAUUUUUAGUGUGAUGGUUGGAAAGUUUUUUCGGUGUAGGAUGAGCUCGCGGCCUAUCAGCGUGUUGGUGGGGUAAUGGCCUACCAAGGCGGCGACGGGUAGCCGGCCUGAGAGGGUGGACGGCCACAUUGGGACUGAGAUGCGGCCCAGACUCCGACGAGAGGCAGCAGUGGGGAAUAUUGCACCAUGGGCGCCAGCCUGAUGCAGCGACGCCGCGUGGGGGAUGACGGCCUUCGGGUUGUAAACUCCUUUCGCUAGGGACGAAGCUUUUUGUGACGGUACCUAGAUAAGAAGCACCGGCUAACUACGUG